CAGCCUCGCCGAAGUGGGAGGAAGAAGCCCUUCGGGGUGUAAACUCCUGUCGCCGGGGACGAUGCUGGGAUGGGUUAAUAGCCCAUCCUCGUGACGGUACCCGGAGAGGAAGGGACGGCUAACUACGUGCCAGCAGCCGCGGUAAUACGUAGGUCCCGAAACGUUGCGCG
rnacentral:rRNA from 1 species